CCGAGUUUACAACUCCCAAACCCCUGUGAACAUACCUAUUGUUGCUUCGGCGGGAUCGCCCCGGCGCCCUCGGGCCCGGACCCAGGCGCCCGCCGGAGGACCCAAACUCUUGUCUUUCAUGAGUAUCUUCUGAGUAACAUAAGCAAAUAAAUUA
rnacentral:misc_RNA from 1 species